UACGGAGGGUGCAAGCGUUUUUCGGAAUUACUGGGCGUAAAGGGCGUGUAGGUGGUUGACUAAGUCAGGUGUGAAAGCCCUCAGCUCAACUGAGGAAGCGCAUCUGAAACUGGUUAACUUGAGUACGGGAGAGGAGAGUGGAAUUCCUGGUGUAGAGGUGAAAUUCGUAGAUAUCAGGAGGAACAUCGGUGGCGAAGGCGACUCUCUGGACCGAUACUGACACUGAGACGCGAAAGCGUGGGGAGCAAACAGG
rnacentral:rRNA from 1 species